rnacentral:rRNA from 1 species
GGAUGGACCCGCGGCGUAUUAGCUAGUUGGUGAGGUAAAGGCUCACCAAGGCAGUGAUACGUAGCCGACCUGAGAGGGUAAUCGGCCACAUUGGGACUGAGACACGGCCCAGACUCCUACGGGAGGCAGCAGUAGGGAAUCUUCCACAAUGGACGCAAGUCUGACCGAGCAACGCCGCGUGAGUGAAGAAGGGUUUCGGCUCGUAAAGCUCUGUUGUUAGAGAAGAACAUGGGUAGUUAGUAACUGUAUCGUCCAGUGACGGUAUUUAACCAGAAAGCCACGGCUAACUACGUGCCAGCAGCCGCGGUAAUACGUAGGUGGCAAGCGUUAUCCGGAUUUAUUGGGCGUAAAGCGAGCGCAGGCGGUCUUUUAAGUCUAAUGUGAAAGCCUUCGGCUCAACCGAAGAAGUGCAUUGGAAACUGGGAGACUUGAGUGCAGAAGAGGACAGUGGAACUCCAUGUGUAGCGGUGAAAUGCGUAGAUAUAUGGAAGAACACCAGUGGCGAAGGCGGCUGUCUGGUCUGCAACUGACGCUGAGGCUCGAAAGCAUGGGUAGCGAACAGGAUUAGAUACCCUGGUAGUCCAUGCCGUAAACGAUGAUUACUAAGUGUUGGAGGGUUUCCGCCCUUCAGUGCUGCAGCUAACGCAUUAAGUAAUCCGCCUGGGGAGUACGACCGCAAGGUUGAAACUCAAAAGAAUUGACGGGGGCCCGCACAAGCGGUGGAGCAUGUGGUUUAAUUCGAAGCUACGCGAAGAACCUUACCAGGUCUUGACAUCUUCUGACAGCUCUAAGAGAUUAAAGGUUCCCUUCGGGGACAGAAUGACAGGUGGUGCAUGGUUGUCGUCAGCUCGUGUCGUGAGAUGUUGGGUUAAGUCCCGCAACGAGCGCAACCCUUAUUACUAGUUGCCAGCAUUAAGUUGGGCACUCUAGUGAGACUGCCGGUGACAAACCGGAGGAAGGUGGGGACGACGUCAAAUCAUCAUGCCCCUUAUGACCUGGGCUACACACGUGCUACAAUGGAUGGUACAACGAGUCGCGAGACCGCGAGGUUAAGCUAAUCUCUUAAAACCAUUCUCAGUUCGGACUGUAGGCUGCAACUCGCCUACACGAAGUCGGAAUCGCUAGUAAUCGCGGAUCAGCAUGCCGCGGUGAAUACGUUCCCGGGCCUUGUACACACCGCCCGUCACACCAUGAGAGUUUGUAACACCCAAAGCCGGUGGGGUAACCUUUUAGGAG